rnacentral:rRNA from 1 species
AGUAACACGUGGGUAACCUGCCCAUCRGAGGGGGAUAACACUUGGAAACAGGUGCUAAUACCGCAUAAUAGUCGACACCGCAUGGUGUUGAUUUGAAAGACGCUUUCGGGUGUCACUGAUGGAUGGACCCGCGGUGCAUUAGCUAGUUGGUGAGGUAACGGCUCACCAAGGCGAUGAUGCAUAGCCGACCUGAGAGGGUGAUCGGCCACACUGGGACUGAGACACGGCCCAGACUCCUACGGGAGGCAGCAGUAGGGAAUCUUCGGCAAUGGACGAAAGUCUGACCGAGCAACGCCGCGUGAGUGAAGAAGGUUUUCGGAUCGUAAAACUCUGUUGUUAGAGAAGAAUAAGUAGGAGAGUAACUGCUCUUACCUUGACGGUAUCUAACCAGAAAGCCACGGUUAACUACGUGCCAGCAGCCGCGGUAAUACGUAGGUGGCAAGCGUUGUCCGGAUUUAUUGGGCGUAAAGCGAGCGCAGGCGGUUUCUUAAGUCUGAUGUGAAAGCCCCCGGCUCAACCGGGGAGGGUCAUUGG